GCCUGGUGGGCUUAGUCAGUUAAGCAUCUGACUUCUGUUCAGGUCAUGAUCUCAGGGUUUGUGGGUUCAAGCCCUGUAUUGGGCU
rnacentral:tRNA from 1 species